GCGUCGAUGGUGUAGUCGCAUCAUACUUGCUUUGGGUGGGGAACAUCCUCAGAGACAGUGCAAGUGGUCCUGGGUUCAAAUCCCAGUCGACGCC